GGGAGCCACUCCCGCCAUUACAAGAUGGCGCCGGUUUCCUGCUUCCUGGUUCUUCUUGCCAGCAUUGCUUUGCGAUCUGCGCAUGUGCCACCUUAUGCUAAUGUAGGCUUAUGUGGUCCUCCAAUUAGGGAUCAUAUGCUAAUCAGGUUUUGUGUGGAGCACCAAUCACAGACGAACACGUCGCCUUGACUGGCUAUUUAAGCAGAGCACAACCCGGGGUCUGGGUCCUUCCUUCACCAUCUGCUAAAAGAGCUGUAACAAUAAAGUUGUUGCUGGACACUC